GGAGGAAGACUCGGCAUGAAGGCCAGCCGCCCGGUGGUGUGGUACGUAGUGGUAAUAGUACGCGCCCCGCUCCGAAACAAAGAAAAAGGUGCGUGCCGCACUCACGAGGGACUGCCAGUGAGAUACUGGAGGAAGGUGGGGAUGACGUCGAGUCCGCAUGGCCCUUAUGGACUAGGCCACACACGUGCUACAAUGGCAAUGACAAUGGGAAGCAAGGCUGUAAGGCGGAGCGAAUCCGGAAAGAUUGCCUCAGUUCGGAUUGUUCUCUGCAACUCGGGAACAUGAAGUUGAAAUCGCUAGUAAUCGCG
rnacentral:ncRNA from 1 species